UUUAUUCCCACAGAUUUUCAUUUUAUUUAUUUAGUAACACUGAAUUAGUGCAGGAAAACCUGCAAAUAAAACCUGAGAAGAAACAAAUGUGAAACUGACUAGUCUAUUUUCAUUGUGUAAACUGAGAAAUCUGAAGACGGUAAACAAACAGGACAGCACUAAUAGUGAAAAGUAAAUUGUAUUUGUAAAUAUCACUGCUUUAAUAAUCUCAAGUGAUAUUAGUAACAUAUGUAACAAACCUUUUUGAAAUAUAAUUUUUAAGUUGGCAGGGUCAGUUUAAGUUACGUACAGAAAAUAACUGAAGCUGUCCAAGUAAUUAGAUUGUUGACCUAAAUUCCUCCUGCAAUUUCAGCUGGAUACAGCAUUCAUCUUGUCCUGAACUGAUGUACAGUGUUGCUCUGCACUGAUCAAUAGUUGCUGGAUCUCACCCCAGUGGUGACUGCAAAGUGAUUGGUGAAUUGAACAAUGUAAGGUUUUUAAAAUGCUUUAGGAUCCUUCAGGAUGAAAAGGUGUGUGUGCACAAAUCAGUGAAAAAGAUAUAAAAUGUAAGGUUGUUCCUGUUUAAUUUCCAUUGUGCUCAUCUUCACAGCUACCCUGUUACAGAGGGAUAUAUUCUGCCCUGUUUUACAUUCUGUGCUAUGCCCUGAAGGUCAGGCAGAAUCCUGACCUGGGAACUCAUUUCAUAGUUCACUUGAAUAGGAACAGUGGUGGGUCCCACACUGGCAGCAACGGGAUGAAAGAGCCUGUGGACCCAGUUGUCCCCAUCCCACUACAUCUGCAACCAAGGUCGUGUGUGGAGAGGGGAGUUAAAAGGAGAAACCUACUCCAGCUAAGGGCUGACCAGGAAGGAGAACAGAGUUCUGCUACUUUUGGAUGAGGGAAACCUAGUUCCAGACAAGAGCCUGAUGCAGCUUGUCACCAUUAUCAGUGGUUCACAGUCAAGCUGAAAGGGCAUAGUGAGUGGGGUUCCAUAGAGAUCAGUUCUGAGUCCGGUUCUGUUCAAUAUCUUCAUCAAUUGUUUAGAUGAUGGCACAGAGCAUACAUUUAUAAAGUUUGCUGACAAUACCAAGCUGGGAGGGGUUGCAAGUGCUUUGGAGGCUAGAAUUAAAAUUCAAAAUGUUCUGGAUAAACAGGAGAAAGGGUCUGAAUUAAAUAGGAUGAAAUUCAAAAAGGACAAAUGCAAAGUAUCAGAGGGGUAGCCAUGUUAGUCUGUAUCCACCAAAAUAAUUAGGAGUCCGGUGGCACCUUAAAGACUAACAGAUUUAUUUGGGCAUAAGAUUUCAUGGGUAAAAAACCCACUUUUUCAGAUGCAUGGAGUGAAAAUUACAGAUACAGGCAUAAAUAUAUAUUGGCACAUGAAGAGAAGGGAGUUACCUUACAAGUGGAGAACCAAUGUUGAAGGCCAAUUCAGUCAGAGUUGGUGUGGUCCACUCCCAAUAAUUGAUGAGGAGGUGUCAAUACCAAGACAGGGAAAAUUGCUUUUGUAGUCAGUCAGCCGGUCAGCCACGCCCAGUCCCUAUUCAAGCCCAAAUUGAUGGUGUUAAGAUUGCAAAUGAAUUGUAGCUCAGCAGUUUCUCUUCGAAGUCUGUGUUUGAAGUUUUUGUUGUUGAAGGAUGGCUACUUUUAAAUCUGUUACCGAAUGUCCAGGGAGAUGGAAGUGUUCUCCUACUGGCUUUUUUAUGUUACCAUUCCUGAUGUCUGAUUUGUGUCCAUUUAUCCUUUUACAUAGAGACUUUCUGGUUUGGCAAAUGUACAUGGCAGAGGGGCACUGCUGAUACAUGAUGGCAUAUAUCGCAUUAGUAGAUGUGCAGGUGAACGAGCCUCUGAUGGUGUGGCUGGUGCGGUUGGGUCCAAUGAUGGUGUCGCUAGAUAUGGGGACAGAGAAGGCAACAUACUCCACUUAGGAAGGAACAAUCAGUUGGGCACAUACAAAAUGGGAAAUGACUGCCUAGGAAGGAGUACUGUAGAAAGGGAUCUGGGGGUCAUAGUGGAUCACAACCUAAAUAUGAGUCAACAGUGUAACAUUAUUGCAAAAAAAAGCAAACAUAAUUCUGGGAUGUAUUAGCAGGAGUCUUGUAAGCAAGACAUAAGAAGAAAUUCUUCCACUCUACUCUGUGCUGAUUAGGCCUCAACUGGAGUAUUGUGUCCAAUUCUGGGUGCCACAUUUCGGGAAAGAUGGGGACAUACUGGAGAAAGCUCAGAGAAGAGGAACAAAAAUGAUUAAAGGUCUAGUAAACAUGACUUAUGAGUGAAGAUUGAAAAAAUGUGGGUUUGUUUAGUCUGGAGAAGAGAAGAUUGAGGUGGGACAUAACAGUUUUCAAGAGCGUAAAAGGUUGUUACAAGGAGGAGAAGAAAAACUGUUCUCUUUAACCUCUGAGGAUAGGACAAGAAGCAAUGGGUUUAAAUUGCAGCAAGGGAGAUUUAGGUUGGACAUUAGGGAAAACGUCCUAACUGUCAGUGAUUAAGCACUGUAACAAAUUGCCCAAGUUGGUUGUGGAAUCUCCAUCAUUGGAGAUUUUAAAGAACAGGUUAGACAAACACCUGUUAGGGAUGGUCUAGACAAUAUUUAGUCCUGCCUUCAGUGCAGGGGACUGGACUACAUGACCUCUUGAGGCUCCUUCCAGUCUUACGAUUCUAUGAUUCCAUGGUGGUGGGGGGAGGGGGGCUGUAGAUAGGUGAGAUAUGCAGGGGUGAAUGAUUUAAGGGCAAGGUCAGGAGGGAUGAGUAGAGAAUGGAGGUAAGAAAAAACAAAAAUGUUAAUGGCAAUCAUUACCCCAUAGCUCUCAUUGAUCUGUUUCUGUAUCUUGUCCUGCUCCUUGUAGAUCAUGCCUGAAGUUGACUGAGAUAUUGUCCCUUCUAUGCCUAGGGUAUACUGCAAUUUCUGUGGCAAUAGUAAUAUCACAGUGUGGUCAAUAGCCAUUGCUCCAAUGCACACUGUACAUAAAUAUUCAGGGAAGCAACUGAUACUAUUAUCUCUUGCAUCUUCACUGAAACAACUGUACUCCACCCUUCCAAACUGGUUACCACCUAAUUUCCUGGCGUGAAGAGUUCGCAGCAUAACCACCACAAGAACAACACAGAGAGAGAUUGCUCCAUGAGUGCCAUAAUAUCUCGUGUGUUCUGCAAAUCCAACGUGGUGAAAUUUGCCCUGGAAUCCACUCCUUGCUUCAGAAUCUUACAUGGAAAAACACCAAAUCUCUGUGGCCCUUUUGGUAGCAAAGACAACUCUACAAAUAAGAGCUGAGUGUAAAUGUUUGCAGUGCUGUCUUCUAAUCCUGAAGCUACGUUCUAAAAUAGUGGUGCUCAGACAUGUGAGCUACCCCAUUCAGCUAACGGCAACAAUGUAAAUGUCGUCUCAACAAUUGUACUUUAAUAGUCAAAAUAAAUAACAUGGCAAAGAGCUAUGGAAGCUGAGCUGAAAAAUCUGGGGCACAACUGGGGACCCAUCGACCCAUUGCCAGAAACGGACAGGAGUGGAGGAACUUUGUCACUGCCCUAAACGCCAGAGGUGUAAUAGGAACAUGACGAAGACGACUGCGGAAAAUGUAAUAUUCAUUUUCAUAUUCAGUUAACCUUGACAAACUGCUGGGCUUCAAGUCGUGCUGUGAAAUCUCUUCAUUGAAGUAGGAAACACAAUUUGGGAUUAUUUCUUAAAUUUCCACAGUGUCUGACUGCUGUUCAAAGGCGCUCAGAUACCAUGAUGGUAAGUACAGUGAGAAGUCUAAGAUAUGAGAACGGAGAAAGUCAGGAGUCCUUGUCCUAAGGAGCUUACAAUCUGACGGCCAGAUCCUUCAAACGCUUAAACAGGUGAGCAGUUACUCGAUGGGUAGACCCACUCAAAUCAAUGGAGCUAUUUACAUGAGUAGAGUGACUCGUAACUAUGUACAGGAUCAUGUCCUAGGUGCUCAAAUAUUGUAUUUGUUAAUAUACUGUACAAAUUUUGCCACAUGUUGCAUUUCUCUCUCUCUCACACACCCACCAUCCUUUCCAAUCAAAGAGCUACUCAGCUGGAUGGGUAUGUUGGCUCUAUGAUAUUCUGAUUUUUAAAAACAAACUACACCCCACAACGGUGCCCUGAUUUCUCUGUGGGGUUUUGCCAAUGGUAUAUUUGACGGUGGGUGCUAAAUAUGACCAGAGGGAUUAAGCUCCUUUUUAUCUAUAAAAGCAAACAGUGCAGUGCUCAUGGUGUUUUGCUACUUUAAAAAAAAAAAAAAAAAAAAAAAAACCAGCCCUCUGCACAGGAACUGCCUGGAUUAAUUAGCCUGCCUCUGCCAAUGCUCUUGAUACUGCUGUUGCAAAUGAAGACUCAGACACUGAAGCUGCUCAGGAAAUGUCUCUGCCUGCUUCAUUAAUGCAUAGACUGCCUUCUUGCCAUUCUAUAACUGCCUCUUAAAAGCACACAGUGUGCCAGCAUGUCAGUGUUUGUUCAGCCUGCACCUGAGGUGCUGAGCAACCUCAACUCAUGUGUAAGCCAAGGAGGUUGAUGCUCAGCACCAUGCAGGAUCAAGCCUCUUACUUUUAAAUAAUGCUAUGUUCUCCUCCUUCAUAAGACAAGUCACACACAAAAAGGGAGUCUCACAUUCUUGGAUUUGUGCCAGUCUCUGCCAAAUGUGACCUGGCCUAAGGGGGAUUCCCUUGAAUGUUUUCUACCAUGGGAAUAAGAGAAGCGCUAAGCUAUGCUCCCCUGUAUCAAUACACUGAAACUCAGAGUUGGCUAUAAUGUAACUUUUAACUGACUAUAAAUGUGACAAAAAAAUCCCACUUCACAACUGACAUUAAGCAAGCAGGACUCUGAGCGGCUUUUGAAGUAUUUUGGGCAUGAUCAGGAGAGUGCUUAAGUCCUACCACCCCUAUUAUGAAAUUUGGGAUGUACAAUGUCUCCCAGGAGUGUAUCAUUACAAACUAAACCACGCCAAAGUUCUCUGAGGAUUAUCCAAAUAAAAUUAAAAUAUGCUCUGGAUUUUAGGAGACAUUAUAAAAAUGGUUCUACACUCUAGUCCAUUCAAUAUCAAUAAUCUCAUCAAAUAAGCUAAAUAUUUAACUAGAUGCAAAAAGACUUAUCUAGUGGGGAGUUUCCAUCUGGGUCUGAAAUUCACAGCUGUCUCAUUGCUCUGGCUUGGGCCUGGACCAAAACCCAGCUCCAAACAACCUAAAAUGUUGGGAAAGUUCACAUCAUAGUCCAGUCUUGGCCCAUCUUUACAACAUAAAGUCAAUAUCAUUGGUUUAUAGGAAUAAGCUUCUCUCACUCCAACUGGCAGUUUCUUUGUAAUACAUUAUGAAGUCCUAAUUCAAGGUGUGUCCAAGAACUUCACUCCACUCGUUGGGACUUGCAUCUUGCCUGGUUAUAUUUAUCAACAAUUUAGAAGGUGAAUUGAAAGGGGCUACUUCCCAACCUCUUCUGCGCAGGGGGAAGAUAAAAAGGGAGAAAAGCAGAUUCCAGAAAAAUCAGAGAAGAGGAAGAAUAUUAAAAUAUCCAGGGUUAAAUCCUGGCUCUGUUGAGGUCCAGAACAAAAUUCUCAUUGACUUUAAUGGAAUCAGGAUGUCCCCAAAGUAAAGGAUUGUUACAGCCAUGUCAGUCAGAUCUUACUUACAGAACAUAUGACUCCAGAGGAAGUUACCAAUUCACAGGUCUCUAGUUGCAUCUCAUCCAGCUAGGGGGCUAGUUGUUGAAAUUUGAAAUGGAGGAAGAACACAUACUGGCCAGAUGUGAAAUGGGCACUGAGGCCCAGAUCCUCAAAGGUAUUUUAGACACCCCUAACUCCCACAAACCAAGAACAAUAGGUAUUCAGCUGCCCAAGUGGCAUACUGGGGUCCAGGCUGUAGAUGGUCUUUGAACACAUCUACAGCAUCCGGCCCCUCAGGCAAGUUUGCACAAAACAGCCAGUGGGGAGGAGGAUACCCUCCCUCAUGAUAUUUAGCCUAGUCGUUAGGGAACUCACCUGGGAUGUGAGAGACCCCUCAAGUCCUUUCUCCUCCUGAUAUUAACAUUAGUGAGACCUCAUAGUGAAAACAUGAGACUAAGGCUAUGUCUAAACUACAGAGUUAAGUCGACUUUAGUUACACCACCAUUCAUCUGCUGCUGUAAUUAAACCACAUUUGCAUGUCCACACAACAUGCCUUGUGACGGCAGAGUGCAUCCACAGUCAGUGCUCAUGCAUCGACAGAGAGAGCAGUGCACUGUGGACAGCUAUUCCCCUGUGCAACUCACCCCCCCCCCCAUCUGCCACUGGUGUUGUGGGAAGGGAUUGCAGUCCCUCACGGGGGUGGGCUCAAUGUCCCAGUUUUCUCCAUCGGAUCAUUCCAUGGGCUUCCAACAACAUUUCAUGCUGCUUUUCAACAGCCCCUGUAACCUGUUCAACCGGCAUCUCUGUCUGAAAGCAUGGAUCCUGCACUGCUCUCCAGUCUUGUGAUAAGCAUUAUGAACACAACGAGGCUGAUCUUGUGGUAUUUCAUGAGCUGACAAUCUGAUAAUGACAUCAUGGUGUCUGCCCUGCUGUAUGCCAUGGACAGAAACAAUUCAAGAUUGCUGUUGACAUUCACGGAGCAGCUGCACAUGGUGGACUGUCAUUACUGGGCUCGGGAAACAAGCACUGUGUGGUGGGAUCACAUCAUGCUGCAGGUAUAGGAUGAUGAGCAGUGGCUGCAGAACUUUCCUGGGACUGUGUGAGGAGCUUGCCCUUGCACUCCAGCUCAAGAACACCAAAAUGAGAGCUGCCAUAACAGUGGAGAAGCAAGUGGCAAAUGCUGUAAGGAAGCUGGCAAUUCCAGACUGCUACCGAUUGAUCCUGCAGUGGAGCGAAAGAUGGCAUGCAUAUCCCCAUUUUGGCCCCAGACCACCUUGUGAUGGAGUACAUCAACAGAAAGGACUACUUUUCUAUGGUAUUGCAAGCUCUGGUGGAGCACCAGGGUUGUUUCACUGACAUCAACACAGGGUGGUCUGGGAAGGUACAUGAUGCAUGCAUCUUCAGGAACACUGCCCUAUACAGAAAGUUGCAAGCAGGGACUUUCUCUCCAGACCAGAAGAUUCCAAUUGGGGAUGUGGAAAUGCCAAUAGGGAUCCUUGGAAACCCAGCCUACCCCUUGCUCCCAUGGCUCAUGAAGCCUUAUACAGGCAACUUUAACCGCAGCAAGGAGCACUUCAACAACAGCCUGAGCAGGUGCAGAAUGAUUUUUAAAUGUGCCUUUAGAUGCUUAAAGGGUUGCUGGCACUGCCUUUUUGCAGGUUAGAUCUCAAUGAGGAAAAUAUUCCCAUGGUCAUAGCAGACUGCUGUGCUCUGCAUAACAUUUGUGAAUCUGAGGGGGAGAAGUUUCCACAGGGGUGAAGCAUUGAGGUGGAUCAGCUGGCUGCUGCCUUUGAGCAGCCAGAUACCAGGGCUGUUAGAGGGGCUUAACAGGUUGUUAUUCAAAUCAGGGAGACUUUAAAGGAGUAUUUUGACAAUGAGCCCCAGUAAUAUGGGUUUAUGUAAUUAAUUGAGCCCGGCAUUGUUUUCUUGCACUGUAGUAUAAACCUUGUAAUGAUUGCUGUGUGUGCUUUAAUUUUACAAUGUAAAUGUCCCCAUUGCCAUUGUGUAUGUAUGUCAGCAGCAACCACUGUAUGUAGGGGACAAAUAAAGAUUCCUUCUCUUUC